AGGACAUGAAAUAUGAUAUUCUAGUGGGGAAAGGAACGAGGAUUACAGCCAAGAAUAACCUACCUAGCAAAACUGAUUAGUCCUUCAGGAAGAAAAAUGGAUAUUUAAUGAAAUAGAGCAUUCCUGAUUUUUAAAAAAAGCUGAAUAGAAAAUCUAGCCUUCAAAUACAAGACUUAAGAGAAGCAUAAAAAGCAUAAACAUAAGCCUCCAAAACUUUGAGAAGUACAUGCAUCAAUUUCAUCAUCUAUGAGGACAUCUCAAGAAAGUAUGUUGCCAAGAGUCAGGCCUCCAUACUGUUUCCUGGGAUUUGCCACGAGCAAAAGCAAAAGGAGCAGCAGCAGCAACAAGGACAAAGGUACUUUAUCUAUAGCUGCAUGCCAACUUGAAAUCAAAGGAAAGCAUUCAGCAAGCAAGACUACAGAAUUUUUUAAAGGUCAUUCUGAAUCCCCUGAAAGGAAAAAGGAAAAAAUCCAAGUCAUCUGAAGGAAGUCCACCUCCUCCUCCAAAGAGCACACCAAAGGGAAAUAAGAAUAAUAAUUAUUGAAGCUUUACAAAGAACUUUCUUCACAAAAAUUCUGAAAGGCAGGUUGAAUGAGAAUUAACACUUUUGUAUAGAUGAGGAAACUGAGGUGCAGAAACCCGUUCAGGUCAAGAGUUUGAAUUUAAACUAAGAGUCCAAAACUCUUUAACACUAACUUUAAAAGACAAUAUGGGGAUUACUAUAAUUUUUAAUAAUGAAUUUUGAAUAAAAAAAGAAAAUGGGGUAAAAUCUGAAACUGCAAGUGUUAAAACAAGGGGAGUUAGGAAAUAGAGGGAGGAUGUAAAGGUAGGCAAGAGAGGAUCACACUGGUAAGCUAGAGUUAAGGUCUGAAGGAACCUUAAAUUGCAUCUAAUUAACUCCUCAUUUUUGCAGAUAAGAGAGAUUAGGUGACUUGUCCAAGGUCAUGCAAGUAAUAAGUGGCAGGACUGGGAUUCCAAAUAGGAAUUUCUUCCUAAACUUCGAGUAAGUGGCCUGGAGGGAAGGAAGGAGGAUCUAUGGUGUAUAAGGGUACAGAGUAUAGGU